CAGAACGAACGCUGGCGGCAGGCUUAACACAUGCAAGUCGAACGGUUGUAGCAAUACAGCAGUGGCAGACGGGUGAGUAACACGUGGGAACCUUCCUAGGGGUACGGAACAACUCAGGGAAACUUGAGCUAAUACCGUAUACGUCCGUGAGGAGAAAGAUUUAUCGCCCCUAGACGGGCCCGCGUAGGAUUAGGUAGUUGGUGAGGUAACGGCUCACCAAGCCUACGAUCCUUAGCUGAUCUGAGAGGAUGAUCAGCCACACUGGGACUGAGACACGGCCCAGACUCCUACGGGAGGCAGCAGUGGGGAAUCUUGGACAAUGGGCGCAAGCCUGAUCCAGCCAUGCCGCGUGAGUGAAGAAGGCCUUCGGGUGUAAAGCUCUUUACCAGGGGACGAAGUAGUA
rnacentral:rRNA from 1 species